AUGCAGAGGCACAGAAAUAUGAUUGCGGCGGUCCUUCUGCUGUGUGCUGUGGAGCUGCACUCCUUUGGUGUUGUGGCAGCGCAGAAUCAGACCUGCGCACCCAGUCAAGAGGAGGCAUGUUUUGUGCCAGCUGACUAUCUGAAUGCACUUGGUCCUGUCCACGUAGAGGUGUGUGCUGGUAAGAAACUCAACAUCCCUCUGGAGCACGUCCCUGCAUACAAAGCCUGUCAUUGGAUCAGAGGAGCAGAGCCAGUACUCACAGUAAACGGGAGUAGCUCCAUGGUCCUACCACCGCUCUCUGAGACAGAUUCAGGGGAGUACACACUGAGCUGUGAAACUAACAGUGAGACCAGGUCCUCGGUGAGUGUGUCUCUUCAUGUAGCAAUGGGUGAGUGA
rnacentral:lncRNA from 1 species